AACGCACGAGACCUGCGGACCUGCGGAAGGAUCAUUACAAAUCUUUUAUCUUUUUUUUGUAAAAGGAGAGAGGAAGAAAAGGGGGAAAGAGAGAGAGAGUAUUAAGAAGAGGGAAUAAUUUUGAGUUAUUCUCCCUUUUGGUACUACUUGUCCCUUUUUUUCUUUAAAUCUAUUACAAAAAAAAGAUAAUAUAAGCACGAGAUCAUUCUUUUUGAAACGAAAAGAAUGAUCUUGAUGUUC
rnacentral:misc_RNA from 1 species